GAUGAACGCUGGCGGCGUGCCUAAUACAUGCAAGUCGAGCGAACGGACGAGAAGCUUGCGUCUCAGAUGUUAGCGGCGGACGGGUGAGUAACACGUGGAUAACCUACCUAUAAGACUGGGAUAACUUCGGGAAACCGGAGCUAAUACCGGAUGAUAUUUUGAACCGCAUGGUUCAAAAGUGAAAGACGGUCUUGCGGUCACUUAUAGAUGUAUCCGCGCUGCAUUAGCUAGUUGGUAAGGUAACGGCUUACCAAGGCAACGAUGCAUAGCCGACCUGAGAGGGAGAUCGAGCAGCUGGGAUGUGAGAAAGGGCCCAGACUCCUACGGGAGGAAGCAGUAGGGAAUCCUACGCAAUGGGCGAAAGCCGAACGGAGCAACGCGGCGGGAGCGCUGAAGCUCCUCGGAUCGGAAAGCUCUGUUAUUAGGGAAGAACAUAUGUGUAAGUCACUGUGCACAUAUUGACGGUACCUGAUCAGAAAGCCACGGCUAACUACGUG
rnacentral:rRNA from 1 species